UCCUCCUUGCUGUGGGAAAAGACAUGACUUGGAGAGAUUAUUUUCAUGAUUCAGCCAUCACUGAGUCUAAGCUGGUUUGGGAGAUGUAACCCUGUCAUGUGUCCUCAGCUUUUAGAGGAGUCUCUUACCUGUAGGCCUCUAUCAGCCGCUCAACCUUCUGUGCUUCUCCCUGCACUCUGAUGUGUGCCUGGAAUUUCCUGAGUGCUUCGUCCAGCUCCAUACCUGAGAAGUCCAUUUCAUCCACCACACAGCUGGUGAAAGACACACAAUUAGCAGCAGUCUGAUGAGAGCUCAUAGCUCUCUGACAGCGAGCGGGAUCGCUUGAUGGCCUCCUCCUCUGCCUGCUUGCGGAGGAUGGACUGGGAGUGCUGGAGCUUGGGUCGGCGAGGCCGCGGGUGGCCCGGCAGGAAGAUGUGUCCGUAGAGCUGGCUGUCCAGGUGGUCGGGGCCGAGCCCACCGCUGUGGGUCACUGGGAUGCAACUAUAGCCGCUGACGGGGUCCACAGAGGCACCCACCUCGCUGCCUGGAGCAUCACCUUCCACACUGCAACACACAGAAACACACACAGAGCACAGCGGUAGGAAACAGUUCCUUUGUGCAGCAUGCCCUCUGUGAAAAGACCACACUGACACUCGUG